rnacentral:rRNA from 1 species
GACAUAGGUGGCGAACGUUAUCCGGAAUUAUUGGGCGUAAAGGGUGCGUAGACGGUCUAGUAAGUUAGCAGCGGGAAAUCGAGGCCCAACCUCGUGGAAGUUGUUAAUACUACUAUACUCGAGUGCAGGAGAGGUUAAUGGAACUCAAUGUGGAGCGGUAAAAUGCGUAGAUAUAUUGAAGAACACCAAUAACGGCGAAGGCAGUUAACUAUUCUGUUACUGACGUUGAGGCACGAAAGCGUGGGGAGCAAAACGG